UCCGUAGGUGAACCUGCGGAAGGAUCAUUAAUAGUGCCCUCUGAUGCAAAUCAUUGGGUUAGAUCUGCUCUCUUCGCAAGAAGAGGGUUUCCAUACACACCGUGAACUGUGGCUUCGGCCAUCACAAACUGUUAGUAAUGAAUGUAAUAUCAUAACAAAAACAAAACUUUUAACAACGGAUCUCUUGGCUCUCGCAUCGAUGAAGAACGCAGCGAAAUGCGAUAAGUAAUGUGAAUUGCAGAAUUCAGUGAAUCAUCGAAUCUUUGAACGCACCUUGCGCCCUUUGGUAUUCCGAAGGGCAUGCCUGUUUGAGUGUCAUGAAACCUCACCCCACUUGGGUUUUUGCCUGAGCGGUGGUGUAUUGGGUGUUGCCUUGCUAAAGGCUCGCCUUAAAGACAUAAGCACCUUGGAUGUAAUACGUUUCAUCCUUCUGGGUGGCUGAUAACCCCACAUAUUCAUGAUCGGGCCUCAAAUCAGGUAGGGCUACCCGCUGAACUUAAGCAUAUCAAUAAGCGGAGGAAAAGAAACUAACUAGGAUUCCCUUAGUAACGGCGAGUGAACCGGGAUGAGCUCAAAUUUAAAAUCUGGCGUCUUUCAGGCGUCCGAGUUGUAAUCUAUAGAGGCGUUUUCCGCGCCGGACCGCGUCCAAGUCUCUUGGAAUAGAGUAUCAAAGAGGGUGACAAUCCCGUACUUGACGCGACAACCGGUGCUCUGUGAUACGUUCUCAAUGAGUCGAGUUGUUUGGGAAUGCAGCUCUAAAUGGGUGGUAAAUUCCAUCUAAGGCUAAAUAUUGGCGAGAGACCGAUAGCGAACAAGUACCGUGAGGGAAAGAUGAAAAGCACUUUGGAAAGAGAGUUAAACAGCACGUGAAAUUGUUAAAAGGGAAACGCUUGAAGU
rnacentral:sRNA from 1 species